UACGGAGGGUGCAAACGUUGCUCGGAAUCAUUGGGCGUAAAGCGCACGUAGGCGGCCAUUUAAGUCGGGUGUGAAAGCCCUGGGCUCAACCCAGGAAGUGCACACGAAACUGAAUGGCUUGAAUAUGGAAGAGGGUUGCGGAAUUCCCGGUGUAGAGGUGAAAUUCGUAGAUAUCGGGAGGAACACCAGUGGCGAAGGCGGCAACCUGGGCCAAUAUUGACGCUGAGGUGCGAAAGCGUGGGGAGCAAACAGG
rnacentral:rRNA from 1 species